UACGAAGGGGGCUAGCGUUGUUCGGAAUCACUGGGCGCAAAACGCAAGCGGGCGGGUCGAUAAGUCGGGGGUGAAAGCCCGGGGCUGAACCUCGGAAUUGCCUUCGAUACUGUCGGUCUCGAGUCCGGGAGAGGUGAGUGGAAUUCCUAGUGUAGAGGUGAAAUUCGUAGAUAUUAGGUAGAACACCAGUGGCGAAGGCGGCUCACUGGCCCGGUCCUGACGCUCAGGUGCGAAAGCGUGGGGAGCAAACAGG
rnacentral:rRNA from 1 species